GGGAACUGCCCUGCAGUGUCUGCAUACAGCCACCCUUGACCUGUCUGCCUGGUCUUUGCAACCUCUAGUGACUGUUGUUCCACAAUGUGUAGUGAAGGCAGGAACCUCCUUGCUUCCCUCUGAAGCUCCCUUUCUAGAAAGGUCAGAGCCGUUCCUUCCCAUUCAUGUGUUGAAAUAAGCACAUGAUUCAGUUAUCACCCUUCCUCAAACCCCUCCAGCUUACAUGCUUUGGAAACAGGCAGCCAAGGUGGAUGGAGAGCAGAGAUGUUUCCUGUCUUCAGCUUCUUGAGAGCUCAUUGAUUGAGGCAGCAUCUCUCACAGCCUGAAGCCCAGCAAUUCAGCUUCUCUGGCUUGUCAGCAAGACUCCAGGACUCUCCUUUCUCGAUGUCCCCUGUGUUGGGAUUACAGGCCUACACAGCUAUACUUGGCUUCUCAUAUGGGCACCAGGAAACCCAGACCUUGGUGUUUGUUCAGUAAGCAUUCACUGACUUAGUCAUCUCCCUGGCCCCAGACUUUCUCCUUUCUCAAGGCUGAAUAGUAUUCUACUGUGUACAGCUGUAGACUUUACCCUUUCUCAAUCCACUAUUAGACAACAGACAACUGGUUUCUACUUCUGUAUUACGUUUCUAUUGCUGUGAUAAAACUCCCGAGACCAAUGCAACUUAUAGGGUUUGUUUGGGGCUUGUGUUGCCAGAAGGAUAAGAGCCCAUCACCAUCAAGACAGUAAAAUGGCAACAGGCAGGCAUAGUACUGGAGCAGUCACUGAGAGCUCAUGAAUUCAUCUACAAACAGAAAGAGGAGAUAACUGGAAAGGAAGCAAUGCUUUUGAAACCUCAAAGCCUGCUGCAAUGACAUACUUCCUCCAGCAAGGUCACACCUCCUAACCCUCCCUAAACAGCUACCAACUGUGAAUCAAGUACCUGCAACUUACAGAGAACAUCUCUUUGAAACCACCCAGCAUCCUUCUUGGCUAUUGUGAAUAAUGUUACAACGAACACAGUUCAGCUGCCUAUUCAAUAAAUGGAUUUAAUUUCUUUGGGA
rnacentral:lncRNA from 1 species